rnacentral:rRNA from 1 species
AAAGGAAUAGACGGGGGCCCGCACAAGCAGCGGAGCGUGUGGUUUAAUUCGAUGCAACACGAAGAACCUUACCAAGGCUUGACAUGCUGGAAGUAGCAAACCGAAAGGCGCGCCACCUGUUGAGUCAGGAGCCUGCACAGGUGCUGCAUGGCUGUCGUCAGCUCGUGCCGUGAGGUGUUGGGUUAAGUCCCCCAACGAGCGUAACCCCUGUUGCCAGUUAUAUUCUCUGGCGAGACUGCCUCGCAAAACGGGGAGGAAGGUGGGGAUGACGUCAAGUCAGCACGGCCCUUAUGCCUUGGGCUACACACACGCUACAAUGGACGGUACAAUGGGUCGCAAGGAAGCGAUUCGGAGCUAAUCCAAAAAACCGUUCUCAGUCCGGAUUGCAGGCUGAAACCCGCCUGCAUGAAGUCGGAGUUGCUAGUAAACGCGAGUCAGCAAAUCGCGUUGAAUACGUUCUCGGGCCUUGUACACACCGCCCGU